UGUUUUUCAUUUCCUUCUAACACAUUCUUUAUUAACUCUCUAAUGCCCAAUUUUUUUAUUUUGAUCUAAAUAUUAUUUUUCGUCAUCUGAAAUCGAUUUAACCUUCCGGGACGCGCGCCAUCAAGCAACCGAAACUGCACCGCGCUCGCACUGUAUACGAAAAGCGAGGUUUUUUGGUGGUGUUGUACUUUUUACAACAGCGCGCGCGCUGAAGGGUUAAACAUGUUUUGGAAAAUGAUUCUUUUCUAAUUCUCGAUUUUGUGAAUUUCCGUUUAAAAUUUUUUCUUAUUUUUGUUUUUGAAUAUCCCCACACUUUAAUAUAUUUCCUGGAAGCUUAUGCGGGAUACGGAUUUUUUUAGGCGAAAACAUUUUGAGAUAUUGUUGAAAUAUUUUCAUUUUAAGUUGUUUUCAUGGAAAAUCUUAUUUUUUGUGUAAUUUUAAGCAAAAUAAUUCGACUAUUUAAGGCUCAAUUGAAAAUGGCAAAUGUUUCAAAACUAAAAAAGCACUUUUUCUCAAAAUGAUCCACAAAUCGAAGAGCCCUUAGAAUGGUGCUUUGCGGCGUAAGAUCUACCACCACAUCAAAUUUCGAUCUUGUUAAUGUUUUCAUAAGGGCUGAAAGUCUCUCUAAUAAAGACAAAUUAAUCAAUUCAAUUCAAUUCAAUUCAAUUUAUUUUUCUGUAGUCAAUAACACUAUUUUAAAGAAAGAACUUAACAUUAACAAAUUCAGAGAUUUGGAUAACCUUACAACUAAGAACAAUUCAAUUUCAUUAAUAGAGACGUAUGUACAACAUUUAGAAAUUGCUAGCUACGAGUAGCUUUUUUAGGGAAAACGAGUUUUAAGAUUGAAAAAAAAACCCCUAGAUUUCAUGAUUCUUAACGCUAAUAUCACAAAUGUUGAAGGUGGAGUGCUUCGAUGAGCGGAUUUGCGGACAUCGCACAGGAAGUCCUAAAGGAUCUUGUAGCACGUUCGAUGCUUGCGUCAAUUGUAUCGACACCAGCCAGCUUGUGGAGAUCAUCGGUCGGAUACCACGGGUUCAGUUUGUAGACUAUCUUGAGCAACUUGUUCUGCUUCACCUGUAGUCGUUUACAGUGCGAUUUGGCGCAGUUGCCCCAAACCGCGGACGCAUAGAUUAGCAUUGGCCGGAUGAUACACUUGACCACCAACUACUUGUUCUUCACGCGCAGCUUCGAUCGGCGACUCAGCAAAGAAUAUAGGGCUUUGGUCGACCGAUCCACCUUUCCAGCGAUGUAGUUUACGUGCUUAUCGAACUUGAGCUUCUGGUCAAAAAUCACUCCCAAAUAAAUACUUUACUUCGUCAUAUCACAUGGAACUGCUGUCUAGGGAUAUGAGCCAUGAACACUCAUUUUUAUAUUUUGUGCUAACGUAAGAACUGUGGAGGACGGAGACAGCCGGAUAUAAAAAAGGCAAUAAACGGACGCGAGUACUUAACAAAAUACGAUUUAUUUGAUCUUCGAAUUUAGCGCGUUGUUACAGGUACGAACUCUCACUUCGAUCUGGUUGGUUAACUCUCGUCGUCGUCGUUUAUGCUCUCUUAGUGUGAGUGGCUACCAGGGGUGUGCCAGUCGCCACAGCGCCCCCCCAGUUACACCAAGAACCUUACGCGGUGGCCAGUAGGUGUAACUAUAGUCUUCUUAUUUUCAGGAUAGCUGGUUACGGUUUCUGGUCCGGUGUGAGCUGGUUUUACCCGAUCAAUCGAAAUUCUUUGCACUUUUUGAUUUACUAUGACGUCUAAAUACUUGUCUGUACGACUAACAACACGGAAUGGACCGUCAUACGGUCGUUGUAGAGAUUUCUGCACGGCAUCAUAACGUACAAAUACAUGUGUGCAGUCCUUCAAUUUUUCAUUUACGAACACUUUCGCUUUGGUGUGAUGUUUAGCUACGACUGGUCUGAUUUGGUCCAUUACUCGAUGAAGGUCCAACGAAAAAUCAGCACGAUCGUUGAUCUUCUCCAGGGGUUCGAAGAACUCUCCAGGUAGACGCAAGGGUUGACCGUACACUAACUCGGCGGGGGAGCAAUCCAUAUCUUCCUUAACAGCGGUUCGCAAACCUAACAGAAUUAAUGGAAGUCGAAUAAACCACUUCUUGGCGUCGACGCACAUGAUGGCCUCCUUUAGCUGUCGAUGAAAACGUUCGACCAUCCCGUUUGCUUGUGGGUGGUACGCCGUUGUCCGUGUGUGGUUGGCUCCUAGUAAAAUCGUCAGCUCCCUGAAUAACUCGGACUCAAAUUGACGUCCCUGAUCUGUUGUAAUGUAUUCAGGGCAGCCAAAACGCGCGAUCCAUUGCGCAGAGUGCCAUUGCUACAAUGUUCGCCGUCAUAUUCUCCAGAGGGAUCGCCUCGGGCCAUCUGGUAUAUCGAUCUACAAUUGUAAGAAGAUAUGUAUGACCGUUAGACGGUGGCAAUGGACCCACAAGGUCAAGAUGGAUGUGGUUGAAACGGCAUUUGGUUGCAAACCCUCCUCAGGACAACAAAUACCAAGCCAUUAAAGACAGACUGUUGAGCCGCUUCGAAAUGUCGGCUCAAGCUAAAAUGGAGAAACUUCUAAAUUCGUGUGACUUGGGCGACAUGAAGCCGACGCAUCUGUUGGCCCGGAUGCAGGAUUUGGCAGCUGGUCUAAAUGUGGACGACGGUCUAAUGAAGAUGCUGUUUUUGCAGCGGCUGCCAGCAAACGUCAAAACUGUGUUGACGAUCCACGACGGCACGCUAACCAAGCUGGCGGAGAUGGCAGAUAAGAUGGUGGAAUCUUCCUGCUCCCAUGUUGCAGCAAUGACGUCGCAACCAGCUGUCCCGUCUACGGAGGAACUUGCAGAGCAAAUUGCCUGUUUAAAAGCAGAAAUCCGCAAGUUAAAAGCUGGAAAAAUCAGGAAUGAGAGAAGCCGAUCCUCGUCUCGCGCACGGCAACGAUUCAGUGACCGUAGUAUCGUGUGCUGGUACCACAAAAAGUACGGCGCUCAAGCUAAUCAGUGUCGCGAGCCGUGCGCGUUCGGAAAUUCUGUCUAGGACAUCGCACAGGAAGUCCUAAAGGAUCUUGUAGCACGUUCGAUGCUUGCGUCAAUUGUAUCGACACCAGCCAGCUUGUGGAGAUCAUCGGUCGGAUACCACGGGUUCAGGUUGUAGACCAUCUUGAGCAGCUUGUUCUGCUUCACCUGUAGUCGUUUACAGUGCGAUUUGACGCAGUUCCCCCAAACCGCGGACGCAUAGAUUAGCAUUGGCCGGAUGAUACACUUGACCACCAACUACUUGUUCUUCACGCGCAGCUUCGAUCGGCGACUCAGCAAAGAAUAUAGGGCUUUGGUCGACCGAUCCACCUUUCCAGCGAUGUAGUUUACGUGCUUAUCGAACUUGA